rnacentral:rRNA from 1 species
GACGAACGCUGGCGGCGUGCCUAAUACAUGCAAGUAGAACGCUGAAGAGAGGAGCUUGCUCUUCUUGGAUGAGUUGCGAACGGGUGAGUAACGCGUAGGUAACCUGCCUUGUAGCGGGGGAUAACUAUUGAAAACGAUAGCUAAUACCGCAUAACAAUGGAUGACACAUGUCAUUUAUUUGAAAGGGGCAAUUGCUCCACUACAAGAUGGACCUGCGUUGUAUUAGCUAGUAGGUGAGGUAAUGGCUCACCUAGGCGACGAUACAUAGCCGACCUGAGAGGGUGAUCGGCCACACUGGGACUGAGACACGGCCCAGACUCCUACGGGAGGCAGCAGUAGGGAAUCUUCGGCAAUGGGGGCAACCCUGACCGAGCAACGCCGCGUGAGUGAAGAAGGUUUUCGGAUCGUAAAGCUCUGUUGUAAGUCAAGAACGGGUGUGAGAGUGGAAAGUUCACACUGUGACGGUAGCUUACCAGAAAGGGACGGCUAACUACGUG